UACGUAGGGAGCAAGCGUUGUCCGGAAUCAUUGGGCGUAAAGCGCGCGUAGGCGGCCCUGUAAGUCCGUUGUGAAAGUCAAAGGCUCAACCUUUGAAAGCCGAUGGAUACUGCAGGGCUAGAGUCCGGAAGAGGCGAGUGGAAUUCCUGGUGUAGCGGUGAAAUGCGCAGAUAUCGGGAGGAACACCAAUGGCGAAGGCAGCUCGCUGGGACGUUACUGACGCUGAGACGCGAAAGCGUGGGGAGCGAACAGG
rnacentral:rRNA from 1 species